GGAUUUUUCUUGCAAUAGGAUUUUAUGUGUAAUCCUAUAGGAUCAAAUCCUACAUUCUAUCAUGAAUUUUAUCCUAAGUUUAUAAGUCCUAGACAUCCAAACAGACCUUUAAUAAAUAGGUUGGGUUUGGUUUGGCAAAUUUUUGACCCGACCUAUAUCUGAUCCGACCCGACCGAUAUCUGAUCCGACCCGACCGAUAUCUGACCUGACCCGGCCGAUUGCCACCCC
rnacentral:lncRNA from 1 species